UCUCGAUCGAGAAGGACUGCGACCGU
rnacentral:sRNA from 1 species